AUUAUCAAACAGAGACCAAUUAAUUCAGUAAAGCUCUGAUUUCAAAAAGCACUUGAAUAUGUGGCUUUCUCUAAUCUCUAAAAUAUUUCUUGUCUGGCAAAGAAUGUAAAUACAGACAGCCUUAAGUAUGUGCUGAGAUACUCUAAGGUAAAGACCUCAACUGUGUAAAAAAUGGUAGCCAUACUGUAGCAGAAAAUGACGAUAUAAAGCAUUUCUCCAGGGCUGCCUGGCACUAAUGACUUUAAUACAGCAAGCUGAACAAACUUAUGUGGCAGCAGUGACUGUGAAGGAGGACUUUUAACUUGCCUACAAUAACUACCUUGCUAGGAGCUGAGCGUUUCAGUCAGUAUGAUGAAUAGAGAACAGGAGCCACUCGAAGACCAGCGCAUGGCGGUGGUGUGGAAAGCGGAUCUGGAUGGGGCAGGGUGCAGAGCGCGACCAUAGGAGAGCCUCUCUGGAAGCCCAACAGUGACCUUUUGAAGCACAUGCUGCCAGCAAAAACCUUGGCUGCACAGGGAAGGAUCUGCCAAGUUGGGACUUAGAAAUGCAGAAACCAUGAAAAGGCCAUGUGGAGACAUCUGGAGAGUUAAAUCUGGGUUGUGGUGGGAGCACUUACAACGUGUAGAACACUGGUCCAAGCAGUCAAGCAAGCUGCUCUAGCCAGACCUGGGACCUGAACUACAGGAUAUAUGCUGCCUCCCCUGCUCCUUGAUCCAGGAGCUCUGAACUGACUCAAAGCCGUGUUCAUGGGACUCAUGGCGAAGUUGAAGAUCCCAGCUGAGGGACAGAGGAGAUGCAAGUCCUGUGAAGAGAUUCUAACGUACCAGUUCAGGGCUUGCUCUAGAUACUUUCCACAAAGUCUUAGAAGCAGUGCCUGGACUACAUGGUCAAAGCCAGUGGAAUAAAACCCAAGAGAAAUCCAGAAGAAAUCACCCAUGCCCAGGUAGAAAGAAGGCAAUCAGCUCCCAAAGUAGUGUAUGUGUUGGGAAACUCUCCUGAGCCACGUGAGAAAUACGGGAGCCUUGAGUAAGAAGUGCUGAUCAGAAUUACUACUUACAGAGCUGUGUGUGUGCAAGUACAGUGAAGAUCUUCAAGUGCUGACCCCAAAGUGGUGGGGGUGACCUCUGUGUUGCAGCGGGCCGUGCCAGACAGCUGGAGGGAAGAUAUUUUUAAUGCAUCCCACAAAUGCAGUAUGUUGCUGCUGCUACAGUGGAAGAGAAGCGGGGGUGGACCCUGCAGACCCUGAGCUGUGUGUAUUGAUUGAGGAAGCAGGCUUCUUCCAUGCAUUCACAGAGCCUGGUUUAGCCUGAGCUGGGACUCAGAGACUGUGUCUUUCUUUCUCUGGUUAUGAUUUAUGACUUCAAUCCAAUUUAUGGCCAUUUACAAGAAUGCUGAACUGGCUGUAAAUCAGUAAGAGACCAUAAAAUACUCAUGAGAGCUGCUGAAAUCCAUCUGGGUGAGCUUCCUUCCCUCCCAAGAGCAGCCAGCUGAGGGCAGGAAGAUGUAGGCCUCCCAUCAAGCCUCGUAGCAGCAACAGGGGGUGGGGAUGAAAUGAAGCGCUUGACUGGAGGAAAAGGCAAAGGCAAAGGAGGCUUGUUC
rnacentral:lncRNA from 1 species